AGCGAACGCUGGCGGCGUGCUUAACACAUGCAAGUCGAGCGAGAAAGGGGGCUUCGGCCCCUGAGUACAGCGGCGAACGGGUGCGUAAUACAUGAGUAAUCUACCCUUGAGGCGGGAAUAACCCAGCGAAAGUUGGGCUAAUACCGGAUAAGACCACGAGAGGAAACUCUAGGGGUUAAAGGCAGCUCUCUUUUGGGGGCGCCCUUUGAGGAGGAGUUCAUGUCCUAUCAGCUAGUUGGUAGGUAACGGCCUACCAAGGCGAAGACGGUAGCUGGUCUUAGAGGAUGAUCAGCCACACGGGGACUGAGACACGGCCCCGACACCUACGGGUGGCAG
rnacentral:rRNA from 1 species